AAUUAAUAAACGUUAAUCAAUAAUAAUUAUAAAUUGUUAAGAUAUAUUUUUUUAACUCAUAGAUCUGUCACACUUUAAUUUAAAAAAUCGAUCAAACAUGAACUCAUAUCAAGAUGUCGAAAAGUGUGCCAAUGUGAUAUUAAGUGAAAUAUUUCAUUUACCUGAGCGAUAGCCCACGAUAAAAGGAAUCCAGCAGAUUUCGGGUCUGGCAACAUUCCCUUAGCAGUGUCGAAGCAACCGAAGUAUGAUGCUCUGUAAAUGAUGAUUCCUUGAACGGAUACACCAAAACCUUUGUACAAUCCAGAGAUUCCGUCAGAUUUGAAGACCUUGGACAAACAGUCUCCAAGACCGUUGAACUCCCGACCAGCUCCAGCUUUGCCGACAUCAGCG